AUCAACUUUCGAUGGUAGGAUAGAGGCCUACCAUGGUGGUAACGGGUAACGGGGUGUUAGGGCACGACACCGGAGAGGGAGCCUGAGAAACGGCUACCACAUCCAAGGAUGGCAGCAGGCGCGUAAAUUACCCAAUCCCGACACGGGGAGGUAGUGACAAUAAAUAACAAUACGGGGUUCUUUAGGAUCUCGUAAUUGGAAUGAGUACAAUUUAAAUCUCUUAACGAGGAACAAUUGGAGGGCAAGUCUGGUGCCAGCAGCCGCGGUAAUUCCAGCUCCAAUAGCGUAUAUUAAAGUUGUUGCAGUUAAAAAGCUCGUAGUUGAAUUUCGGGGUUAGUAGGUUGGUCAUGCCUCUGGUAUGUACUGAUCUCACUGAUUCCUCCUUCCUUAUGAACCGUAAUGCCAUUAAUUUGGUGUUGCGGGGAAUUUGGACUGUUACUUUGAAAAAAUUAGAGUGUUUAAAGCAGGCUAACGCUUGAAUACAUUAGCAUGGAAUAAUGAAAUAGGACGUUCGAUCUUAUUUUGUUGGUUUCUAGGAUUGACGUAAUGAUUAAUAGGGAUAGUUGGGGGCAUUAGUAUUCAAUUGUCAGAGGUGAAAUUCUUGGAUUUAUUGAAGACUAACUACUGCGAAAGCAUUUGCCAAGGAUGUUUUCAUUAAUCAAGAACGAAAGUUAGGGGAUCGAAGACGAUCAGAUACCGUCGUAGUCUUAACCAUAAACUAUGCCGACUAGGGAUCGGAUGAUGUUAAUUUUUUAAUGACUCAUUCGGCGCCUUACG
rnacentral:rRNA from 1 species